CUCGCUGGUUGCAAAUUCGAUUGCUCUAUCCUAGAAAUAGUGUACUAACAUAAACUGUGUGAAGCCAGAAAUUACAAGAAGAAGAGCAGCACGUUGCUGAAAAACGGUCAAUUUGGCAUCUGGUUUGGACAGUCUCGUUUUCUAGCCAGUCGAGAAAAUUUUCUACUACUGUACAAUACACUGCUGGCUGGCUGGUGGCAGUGCUUGUGAAAAAAGCAACCUUGGGUGGCCGACGUCCUUCUUCUUCCUUUCCUACCUCGUCGUUUUCGGUGUCGUUUUCUUCCCCCGACUUCAAGCUACAGAGAAACUACCCGAAUACCUCAGAGACACUGUCGACUGGCUCACGGGAUUCCUAAUCUCUAUUGUCGCCAUGUCUUUGGAUAAACGAAGAAAAUACCCCGUCAAGAAAAUUACUAACAUUGGCAAAUAUAAAGAGGACACUUGGUAUGAGGUAGAGUGGGUGGGUUACGAGGAAAAAGACUGGGUGUACGAAGGUGAUUGCACUGGCUGUCCCGAUAAAAUCAAGGAAUUUUCGGAUGGGUAAGUUUAAAGGGAAACCAGUGGACCUUAAAAAAACAAAGCCAUUUUCCUUUGAGCAGAAACAAUGGGUGAAA